rnacentral:lncRNA from 1 species
AAAGGCUAUUUCACAGUGUAAAGACAAAGAAUUGCAUGCUUCAUGAAAAGGAUUUUAUCUCUCUGCAGAGUGAUUCUCGGGACAGCAACCAAGUGCAUCGUCAUCAAGUCCACUGGGGAUGAUGCUACUUACAACAGCUCAGCACACAUCGCACACUUAUUGCCAUGCGUCUUCCCAUCAGGACCAAGAACAGGAUCAUUUUCCCUUGUGCAUCCAAGUCUUCCAUCUUUAACAAAGGGCCGAAAAGCACUGCAUACAUCCUGAAGAACAGGGAGAAGAACUUGAAACUUACCAAGAUUGUAAUGCUGACAACACUGUUUUCAGAAAUUUUACUGAACUCAGUCCCUCUGACAUUGCUAUGGGCCACUUAGAGCAGUACCAGCUGUGUAGAUGUAGCUCAGUGGUGGAUCACAACCUACAGAAAACACCUCUUCCUAAUGUUGACAAUGCCUGAGACCUUACAGAUAGAUUCCUGACCUGGUGAAGUGGCA